rnacentral:rRNA from 1 species
AGUGAACGCUGGCGGUAGGCCUAACACAUGCAAGUCGAACGGCAGCACAGUAAGAGCUUGCUCUUACGGGUGGCGAGUGGCGGACGGGUGAGGAAUACAUCGGAAUCUACUUUUUCGUGGGGGAUAACGUAGGGAAACUUAUGCUAAUACCGCAUACGACCUACGGGUGAAAGCAGGGGAUCUUCGGACCUUGCGCGAUUGAAUGAGCCGAUGUCGGAUUAGCUAGUUGGCGGGGUAAAGGCCCACCAAGGCGACGACCCGUAGCUGGUCUGAGAGGAUGAUCAGCCACACUGGAACUGAGACACGGUCCAGACUCCUACGGGAGGCAGCAGUGGGGAAUAUUGGACAAUGGGCGCAAGCCUGAUCCAGCCAUACCGCGUGGGUGAAGAAGGCCUUCGGGUUGUAAAGCCCUUUUGUUGGGAAAGAAAAGCAGCAGGUUAAUACCCCGCUGUUCUGACGGUACCCAAAGAAUAAGCACCGGCUAACUUCGUG